rnacentral:rRNA from 1 species
UACGUAGGGUGCAAGCGUUGUCCGGAAUUAUUGGGCGUAAAGAGCUCGUAGGCGGUUUGUUGCGUCGGCUGUGAAAUCCCGAGGCUCAACCUCGGGUCUGCAGUCGAUACGAGCAAACUAGAGUGUUGCAGGGGAGACUGGAAUUCCUGGUGUAGCGGUGAAAUGCGCAGAUAUCAGGAGGAACACCGGUGGCGAAGGCGGCCCUCUGGACGGUGACUGGACGCUGGAGAACGCGAAAGCGUGGGGAGCAAACAGG